GCCGCAAGAGGAGGUGGGUCACCUGACGCCUCACAAACUCCGAGCAAAAUGGCGGCGCCCGUGCUGCGGCGCUGCCGGGUUUGGCUCGGGGGUGGGCAUCGCAGCGUCGGGAAUGUCGCCGAACUGCGCGGCCCGGAGGGUCCGGUGGCCGCUAGCGCGCUCUGCCGGAGUGCGAAAGAGAUGACAGAGAAGCAGAAACGGAAUGUUCCCUGGGCAGCAGUGGUAGGCCUGGAAAUUCAUGCACAGAUCUGCUCCAACUCAAAGCUUUUCUCUGGUUCACAAGUCCAGUUUGCAGCAGCACCUAACUCCUUAGUAUCUUUUUUUGAUGCUUCUCUACCUGGAACUCUACCUGUUCUCAACAGGAGAUGUGUAGAAGCCGCAGUGAUGACGGGCCUUGCGCUGAACUGCACCAUAAACAAGAAGUCCUUGUUUGACAGGAAACACUAUUUCUAUGCAGAUCUGCCUGCUGGCUAUCAGAUCACUCAGCAAAGGCUUCCCAUUGCUGUGAAUGGGAACUUGUCAUACAUUCUGCGCAUGGGGAAAAACCAGAAUGAAAUGGUAACCAGGAGUGUGAGGAUCAAGCAGAUACAGUUGGAGCAAGACAGUGGAAAGAGUCUUCAUGAUGAUUUAAGGAGCCAGACCCUUGUGGAUUUGAACAGGGCAGGAGUUGGCCUCAUGGAGGUUGUCAUGGAGCCCGACAUGUGCUGUGGGGAAGAGGCGGCUGCAGCAGUGAGAGAGCUUCAGCUUAUCCUGCAGGCUCUUGGGAGCAGCCAAGCAAACAUGGCAGAGGGUCAACUGAGAGUAGAUGCCAAUGUAUCCGUGCAUCGCCCUGGAGAACGUCUUGGAGUGAGGACUGAAGUGAAGAAUAUCAACAGUGCCCGAUUUCUUGCCAGGGCCAUAGACUAUGAAAUACAAAGGCAAAUUGAAGAGCUGGAGAAUGGAGGAACUAUUUUGAAUGAAACCAGAGCCUUUGACUUUAAACGUGGGCGCACCAUAGCAAUGAGAGACAAAGAAGGAAAACAAGACUAUCGGUUUAUGCCGGAGCCAAACCUUCCUCCAUUGAUUCUUUGCGAUUCUAAAUCUUCGCCUGCUCACACAAGCGACCGGCAAGUGGUGAAUAUUGAUUGGCUUCGGGAGAGGCUUCCUGACCUCCCCAGUGCGAAGAGAGCAAAGCUUGUUGAAUGUUAUGGGAUUCAGCCUCAGCACAGUUUCACCUUAUUGAAUGAAGAUGGAUUAGUAGAAUUUUUUGAAGCUGUGGUGAAUGCAACAGGAAUGGCUCCCAAAAAGGUCGUUGGCUGGAUUAUAAAAGAUAUUCUUGGCUAUUUAAAACAGUAUAACCUUGAAGUAAAGGAAAGUCCAGUCAGUCCUCUUCUUUUGGCUGAACUUCUGAACCUUCUGGAAAGCGAAACGAUUUCUUCCUCGGCAGCCAAACAAGUGUUGGAAGUGAUGUGGAAGGGGGAAGGGAAGACUCCAUCUCUGAUUGUUAAAGAAGAGAAGCUUGAACUGUUGCAGGAUCAGAAUGAGCUUGAGUGCAUCUGUCAGACUGUGAUGGGAGCCCAUCAGAAAGAGGUGGCAGACAUAAAGAAGGGCAACAAAAAAGCACUGAAUAAGCUUAUUGGCCAGGUUCAAAGAACAACAAGAGGACGCUCAGACCCUGUCCUGGUGAAACAAAUACUAGAGAAGCUGCUAUCAUAGGAGCCUGCAGUGAAAAUUCCAUAUCUGAUAUUCGCUGCUGUUAUCAGAGUGGCGAACAGGUUUGGAGCCUGACAGUUCUCCUGGACAAAGUGUGAGUAUCCAGAAAUACAUUUUCUUAGCUGUGUAAGCUCUGUCCCCUUUUAGAGGCAUGAGAGCUUGCCACAGUAAUAUGUUGGAUGCAAGGCUGCCCUUGAAAGAUGACAUAGGAAUUGCAACUGGGGUGAAAUGCUAUAAUUUGCCUUGUAAUGAAGAGGCAAAGAGAAGAAAACAUAUAGCUGUCUUGUGAUAACUUCAGCCUUACCCUAAAAGUCUGUAAACAACCUACUAUAUUUUGCAUGACCUCUUGUCAGGAAUAGGCAUGGACCAUAGGUGGUGUUGGGAAUGUAUUUUGUUUUGUUGAAAUCAUUAAUUGGAGAGUGGGAUGCAGAGAACUGUGAAAGGAUACAUCCAAAUAUGUUUGAACCUAUGCAGCAGGGAGACUCUAGAGAACAGUAGUUGAUGUAGCAGCAGGUUGAGGAGCAGUAUAUUCAUAAGUUGCUUUGUGAUGUAGGGAAAUGUCUUUAAAGUGCUUAGAAUAGAGAAACUAAAGACAACUGAAUUCAGAUUCAUUGUAUUAAAGUCUUUUUGUGCUGCAAAUAAAUAAGCUGGAAGAAAACACACAAAUGAAACCCACAAAAAUUGAGAGUACAGUCCUCCUCAUUUUCUACAAUUAAGGAGAUAAGGUGUGUAAAGAAUAUUAUAAGUAUAUAAAAAAUUACGCUGUAGCAGCAGCUAGGCCAUAGUAUGCCACACACUAAUCUUGGUGCAAAUGCAGGAAGCACAUUAGAGACUUAAUUUUUUUCCUCUUUUAAUAUUAUAAGAUUGCUGAGAAGCAGUAGGGUGUGUCAUUUUAGGGGAUGAAACUUAAUUUUGGCAAAUUUCUUCAGUGAGGGGUCUUAAAAAUAUUUUUUGGGUGUGAAAAAAAAUCAAAUCUGCUAUUAAUUUUGUGAUUGGACAACAUUUAGCUUGGUAAAUCUAUGUUUGAUUAAAAAGCACCCAAAGUGUUCAUGGAAUACCAAAGAAUGAUUUAAAAAAAAAAUAGUUUCUGCAUACAGCAUCUUUGGGUUAACAUUCCUGUAUUCUGCAAGGAGUAGAAUUUGUCAGUGUUUAAAAAAGUCAUUUUUCACAUAGUCCAACUAAUUAGAGUAGCUGUGGCACCUUAACAACAGAUAACGUGACGGUGGCAUGAGUUGUCAAUUGUGGGAAGAAUGUACUUCAUCAGAUGCAUAGUGAGAACUGUAGAGACAGGGCAAUGGAAUAUAUUCUACUUAAGACUAAAAGUGUUGUUGUUUUUUUAAAGCCAAGCCUGAACACAGAGGCCUCAUGUGAGUGUUAAAUCAAUGGCCACAAAGAUCCAGUCACUUUAACAGAUGCACAACAAACCCUAGUAGAAUGGUAGUCAGAUCAGCAAAAUGCUUAAUUUGAGCUGACUUAAGGAAAGCUGUUAACUAUUCCCGCUGCAGAAGUAUUUUAGGGCUAGCUUGCUUUCUAAAUGCCUUUUUGGGCUAGUACCCAUCACUAAAUUAUUCCAAAUAGCUUACUUAUGCAAAGCAAUCCAAAGCCACAUUAAGCAAGAUGCAAUUUUCACUUUCCCUGAGAUGGCAUUUAUAUAGGAAUAAUUACAACACUACAGCUUGAAUUAGUGCUAUAAUCAUGGCUCGGAUAAUUACACCAGGAGACUGCAGCACUCAAUUUCAGAGAUGUUUGGAGGGGUGGUUGUUUUUUUAAAAAAAGAUUUGGGUGCUUUUUGACAUGAAACAAGCCAAAAUAGCAAAGUCUUUGUAUUUUGUACUCCUAUGUGUCAAGGAUCAUCAAGCUUACCAGCAAUUUGUAGCUGUCAUUUUUACUUAUUUGUGUAUAUCAUUCUGUGGUUUUCUAUUACUAACCCUCCAAAAAGUCACUGUAAAGACUGUGUAUAGUAAUUCUCCAAUUCAUAUUUUUAAAUUUUAUUAAAAUCCACAGAGACAAAA